UUUCUUUCUUUCUUUCUUUCAUCAGUCUAGCAAAGGUUUUGCAAGUGGUGAUUUGUGCAAGAAGUCACCUUUUGGUUUAAUGGAUUUUCUCUCUUGUUUUCUAUUCUCUAUUUUCUUUACUACUGCUCUAGUAUUAAUUUUCUUUCCUUUUGCCUGCUUUGGGUUUAGAUUGCUCUUCUCUUUCUAGUUUCUUAAGGUAAAAGUUUUUUUAAUUUAAAAGAAUUCAUCUUUUUUUUAUUUUUUAAUUUUUAGGGCCACACCUGCUGCAUCUAGAAGGUCCCCCAGCAUGAAUCAGAGCUGCAAGCUACAGCCACCAGCUUAUGCCACAGCCACAGCAUUGCAAGAUCCGAGCCACAUCUGUGACCCAGAUCAUAGCCCAUGGCAAUGCUAGAUUCCCAACCCACUGAGCAAGGUCAGGGAUCAAACCUGCAUCCUCAUGGAUACUAGUUGGGUUCAUAAUGCACUGAGCCACAAUAGGAAUUCCAGAUUUCUUCUUUUAUUAAGAGAAAAUGGACACAAUAGUUUAAUAUGCUUAUUAUUUUAAACUAUAAAACAUAGUGUUUUUAAUAUAUUCACAAUAUUCUGCAACUAGUACCACUAUUUAAUGCAGAACUUUCCAUAAUUCAAAAAUAAACCACAAACCCAUCAGCAGUCACUCCCAAUACCCUUACCACAUCCUUUCGCCAACAUACUUUAUGUCUUUAUAAAUUUGACUAUUUUUGACAUCUGAUGUAAGUGUAAUCGUACAAUGUACUGGCUUCUUUCAGUUAGCAUAAUAUUUUGAGGUUCAUCCAUGUUUUAGCAUGCAUCUGUACUUCACUCCUAUUUAUGGCUGAAUGAUAUCCCAUUGUGUGUAUAUACCGUACGUUGUUGAAUAGCCAUCAUUUGAUGGGCAUUUCAGUUGUUGCCACUUUUUGGCUCUUAUGAAGAACACUACUGUGAAUGUUUGCAUGCCAACUUUUAUUGGAGAUAUGCGUUAAGAUCUCCUGGGACUAUCCUUAAGCAUGGAAUUGUUGAGUCAUUCUCAAAUUAACCAUUUGAGGAAGUGCCAGAAUUAUUUCCAAAGUGGCAGGACCAAUUUUACAUGUCUACCAGCAAUGGACAAAGGUUCCACUUUCUCCAAACUUUGCCAACACAUUUUUUUUUUUUUAAAUUAGAGACAUUCUAGGAUUGAAGUAGAAUGUGGUUUUCAUUCACAUUUUCCUAAUAGCGAAUGACAAAGACCAUCUUUUCAUAUGCUGUUGGAGGUUUCUGUAUCUUCUUUAGUGAAAUGUCUAUUCGGUUCCUUUGCCCAUUUUUUAAAUUGGGUUGUCUUCUAGUUGUUGAAUUGGAAGCAGAAUUUAUAUAUUCCGGAUAUUAAAUCUUUAUAUGGAAUAUGAUUUCUUCCAUUCUGUAGGUUUCCAUUUUACAUCCUUAGUAAUAUCCUUUCAUGCACAAGUUAUUUUAUUUGAUGAAUUGUAAUUUAUGUAUUUCUCUUGUUACUCAUGCUUAUGGUGUCAAACCUGAGAGAUACUGCCAAAUCUAAGGUUACUCAUGCUUAUGGUAUCAUACCUGAGAGAUAUUGCCAAAAUCUUAUGUAUUUUAUAAAAAGACUUUUAGUUUUAGCUCUUAUAUUUAGGUUAGUGGUCCAUUUUUAGUUAAUUUCUAUAUGCAGUAAGAGUUAGGAGUUAAAAUUUACUCUUUUCAAUUUGGAUAUUAAGAAUCAUUUGUUAAAAGAUUCCUAUUUCCUCAAUGUAUAGUUUCAGCAUCUUUUAUAAAAAUUAAUUACCAUAAAUAGAUUUAUUUUUGAACUCUCAAUUCUAUUCCAUAAAUCUAUAGACCAUUGUUAUGCUAGUACCACUGCUUGACUACUGUACCUUUAUGGUGAGUUGGAAAUUAAGAAGUUUGAUUCCUCCAAAUUUGUGCUUUUUCAAUAUUAUUUUGUUUAUUUAGGAUCCUCUCCUAUUCCAAAGGGAUUUAAGGAUUGGCUUUUACAUUUCUGUAACAAAGGCCAACAGAAUUUUGAUAAGGGGAGUUCCCACUGUGGCUCAGUGGUAAAGAACCUGACUAGUAUCCAAGAAGAUGUGGGUUUGAUCCCUGUCCUUGCUCAGUGAGUUAAGUAUCCAUCAUUGGCAUAAGCUGUGGUGUAGGUCACAGACAUGGCUCAUAUCCCAUGUGUAUGUGGCUGUGUGUAUCCCAGUGGCUGAAGAUCUGAUUCGACCCCUAGCCUGGGAACUUCCAUAUUCACCAUGGGUAUAAACCUAAAAGGCCAAAAAAAAAAAAAAAAAAAAGGCAGGAAUUACACUGAAUCAGUAGAUUGCUUUGGCUAGUAUUGAUGUCUUAACACUCUUAAGUCUUCUAAUCAAUGAACACAGACAGUCCAUUAAUUCAGAUCUUUAAAAAUUUUACUUUAAAAAUGUGUAGUUUUCUAUGUUGAAGUCUUUCAUCUCUUUGAUUGAAUUAAUUAUUGGAUAUUUAUUUUUAUGGUUAAUUUUUGGCUAUACCCACAGCAUGCAGAAGUUCCCUGGGCCAGGAAUUGAACCCGUGCCACAAUGGUAACCAGAGCCACAUCAGUGACAAUGCUGGAUCCCCAAUCCACUGAGUCACCAGAGAACUCCUGGAUAUUAUUCUUUUAGAUAUUUUUAUUGUGGAAUUGUUUUCUUAAUUUCCUUUUUGGAUUAUUCAUUGCUUGGAUAGAGAAUAAUCAUCUGAACUUACUGCCUAGAACUUUCAGUAUGUUGUUGAAUAAUAGCAAUGCAUGUAUCCUUGUCUUGCCCCUUUUCUCUGGGGGGAAGCAUUCAGUUAUCACCAUUAAGCAUGAUAUUGGCUAGAAGU
rnacentral:lncRNA from 1 species